rnacentral:rRNA from 1 species
ACAUGCAAGUCGAGCGUGAAAGUCCUUCGGGAUGAGUAAAGCGGCGGACGGGUGAGUAACGCGUAGGAAUCUGCCCUGAAGCGGGGGAUAACUUGGGGAAACUCAAGCUAAUACCGCAUAGACCUAAGGGUGAAAGAUGGGGAUCUUCGGACCUAUCGCUUCAGGAGGAGCCUGCGUCGGAUUAGCUUGUUGGUGGGGUAAAGGCCUACCAAGGCGACGAUCCGUAGCUGGUCUGAGAGGAUGGCCAGCCACACUGGGACUGAGACACGGCCCAGACUCCUACGGGAGGCAGCAGUGGGGAAUAUUGGACAAUGGGCGCAAGCCUGAUCCAGCCAUGCCGCGUGUGUGAAGAAGGCUCUAGGGUUGUAAAGCACUUUAAGUUGUGAGGAAGUUACAGUUGCAAAUAGUGGCUGUAAUUGACGUUAGCAACAGAAUAAGCACCGGCUAACUCCG